ACCCGCUGAAUUUAAGCAUAUAAGUAAGUGGUGGAAAUUAAACCAAAUGGGAUAUCUUUAGUAAUUGCGAAUGAACAAGGAUAUGCUUAGCUUGACAAAUGGAGCUAUUGGCUUUGAAUUGUAUUUGUGGAAUGUAUUACCAACAGAGGUGCAGGUGCCAGCCUAUUAAAUAAAGCGUCAAUGAGGGUGAGAAUCCUGUUUGUCAUGUGCAGCCCUUUGUGCACGGUGUAUAUUUGCUGAGUCACACUCCUUGGCAUUGGAAUGCAAAGUGGGUGGUAAGUUUCAUGUACAGGUAAACAUGCAAUUGAGACUGAUAGCACACAAGUACCAUGAGGGAAAUAUGAAAAGGACUUUGAAAAGAGAAUUAAAUGAGUUUGUAUUUGCUGAACACAAAGUAAACAGACUUGAUUUGCUUGGUGGGAGUGUUGCACUUGCUUGACAAGAGCUUUGGGCUGUGGGUGUAAUGAUUCUUUCUUUGCAUGCCAGUUUCUAUGUGUACAUCUGAUUACCUUUGCACAUGAAUGAUAAGUCUCCUGUGGGGGGUGUAUUGCAUGUGCAUGUAAUGAUGUGUGUUUUGAUAAAUGUGUAUGGUGUAUGUGUUUGUGUUCAUGUGAUUGGGGAUGCUUCCUUCCUUGGACUUACAAGCCCUGACACACACAUGCUGGCAAAAUGAUUAUGCUUGACCCGUCUUGAAACACGGACCAAGG
rnacentral:rRNA from 1 species